ACCCACCCCCCUAAAAAAGUGUUGAUCUGUAUGUCUGAUAGAGAGUCGGUUGUUGUCCUUACACCACACCUCCAAAUAGCACGGUUGGCUACGUACGGUGCAGACGAGUUCACCAACUCUGGGGGUAACGAUGCAGGGGAAGGCGACACCGUGAUCGCGCCCAGAUGGAGGGCGACUCUGCGGCGAGGACCACGGCACCGUGAAACCCUCUUGACGACAAGAACGAGACCGGGAAAAAAUCUGGAGCAGCGGCAAGAAGCGGCGUGGUCGCGGAUCAGAUGAACACCCAAACCACCCAGGGUUCCACCCAUCCCGCUCUCGUGAAAACUGCGGGCAAGCCUGCAACAACACAUUCUGUCGAUCGCAGAAAUCCUCCGUCGAUAGGAGAAUGCUUGCUCGUCGCAAACCAGACGCCGAGAAGUCGCACAACGCGUGCCGGCAGAACCAAGGCGGCUUUCGUGGCACUGGGGUGGGUGGGUGGGCGGUGUUGUGGGGCUUCCCGGCCAGGUGACGUGGAGGACAGGAGGCUAAGGUAAGAGGUGCCCAUCACUGCGCUCAGCGUGCGGUGCUCAUCGCUGCGAUGGGCACCGCACAACACCCCCCCCCCCCCUUCAUUCCGAUAUUAGGACACCGCCGGAGGUACGCACUUUAAAAUCUAGACUGAGAACUAAUUUCGAAUAGAACUGCUUUCGGUGUUUUAUGAUGCCUUGAAUAAAGGUGUCAGUUUUUGUGCCAGUUAAAAGGGUAAAAACCUAUUCCUAUGCUUUCGGUGUUGUUUCGUGUCCUUCCAUUCCGCACCUCCGAUUAGCACGGUUGGCUACGUGCGGUGCGAAAGAAGUUCUACAUAUUUCGUGUGCAGGUACAACUAUAGAUGGGGAACUUUAGUUCAAGAGGCCAAACUGUAAAUUUCGCUUGUCGGUACCACCUGUGCCAUAAAUUUCGCGGGUCCCAUUGUUUGUGGACAAUAACAGUGAAGUACAUGACAAACGUUGAAAUGAUUCACUGAUUGGCCAUAUGAAUAAAUCGAUACUUCCAAGGUGCGCAGAACGGACCCAAAUUCACCCUCGCACGGCUCGGCGGCAGACGACCAAAUGCCCUCUCCAUGCGCCAGCAAAGGCCCCGGGGUGCCAGCCUCUACAAUGCCGACAAGCCGCUGGCCAGCGCGAGCCACGUCUUACGCUGCACGUGCCGCUGUUGUUGCUCCACACUCCUCCUCGUAUGUAACCUUUACUCCCCAUGCCGCCCCCCCACCACCACGGACUCCCUCCACAGACAAGCACCACAAGCUGAACCUUUGGAAUGGAACGUGCCACAACAAGCAUUGUAGAUGUAACCAGAGGGAGAUAGAGAGGGUGGGAGGAAAUGGUUUUGAUGGGUGUGGAAUGUGUUGCAAGGUGGACAGGCAUUGGGAAUGGUCACUCAGUAUCAGUGACAACGAGAGAGGAUGAUGAGGACAGAUGGUGGGAGGAUUUGCGCAAGAUGGAAUUAUUCGGGCAGGCAUUGCGAAUGGUCACUCAGUAUCAGUGACAAUGAGUCAUAAUGAUAGAUGGUGGGCGGAUUUGCGCAAGAUGCAUUUAUUGGGACAGGCAUUGCGAAUGGUCGCCCACUAUCAGUGGUAAUGACAGUUAUAAAGAUAGAUGGAGGGAGACUUUUUAGAAAUAGACUUGAAAGGUGAGAUUUUGACUUUCCCCCCCCCCCCCCCCCAAGAGAUCUGGGGUCUGGCUGACGUUGAUGGUAAACGUUAGUGCCAUUAACAGUGGCCUUGGUAACCUUUUCCACAUUUGCUCUGGAUAAUAGCCAUGCGAUAUAGACCCCCCCCCCCAAAAAAAACCUUUCGCAUAUAAACCACGACACCUUUUUUACGGUCAAAUCAUAUCCGAAACCCAUCACAAAGCACUUAAGUGGCACUUAUUCAACCCCUCGCAAACACAAAAUAAUACUUGAUGUUUUUUUUUUUCCCAAAAUGUGGUGAUAAACAAGACGCUGUUGAAAACGCCAAUGGACAUUCAGGUGUUAAAAUGAAAGGCACUGUAGCUUCACACGGAGUAAACAAAAAAAACCCAUGCCUGCUCUUUUUAAUUGGCUUUUUAUUAAAUCCUGCAAUGUUUUCACCGUUGGUUUCAAAUGACAACAUUCUAAAAAUAACUUGAGUAACAAAGACGCCGUUUGUAGCAAGCGAGCCUUGAACACCUCCAGUGUGGUUUCAGAGGAUACGGCACUAUUUUGAGAAUACAUUUUAAUUUCGGUAUUGCUCUCUCUCUCUCUCCAGCGUAUGGCAAAUGUGGAAAUCGCACGCACAAGUUAAAGUUUGUGAGCCACGCGAUAGCUUCGGGAGUUGUGCAACUAAUACCGCUCAGUCCGGCAGAGAGCGUGCGUAGGAUGAUGCAGUUAUUCGCGAUAUGGUCAAUUUUUCUGGUACGGGUGGCCGCAGUCACACCGUGGGGUUGUCGUCUGAUUCCCCACUUGUGGAGGAGUGCGCAGCGACCAGUUGCUCUUCUGAAGGGGGUUGAUGGAGCACCGUCGUUUUAUUUGCAGAUCAAAGCCGUACGGAGGCAAUACCAAACGGCAGACUACAGGUAUUGCUGCAAAGCUUGCGUGCACAAUUAUUACGCUAAACUGUCCCACGUUA